AGAAUGACACCUUCUCAGGUUACAUUUGAAAUAAGAGGACCUAUCUUACCAGGAGAAGUUUUUGCUAUAUGUGGAAGCUGUGAUGCUUUGGGAAGUUGGAAUCCUCAAAAUGCUGUCCCUCUUCUUCCAGAGAAUGAGACAGGUGAAAGCAUGUUAUGUAAAGCAACCACUGUACUCAAUAGAGGAGUAUCAGUUCAGUAUCGCUACUUUAAAGGGUGCUUCUUAGAACCAAAGACUAUCGGUGGUCCAUGUCAAGUCAUAGUUCACAAAGUGGGAGACUCAUCUACAACCACGCUCAAUAACCCCUUUAGAAAGUGAAAUUAUUAUUGACGAUGGACAACUUGGAAUCCACAAUGGUGUUGAAACGUUGGAUUCAGGAUGGCUGACAUGUCAAACUGAAAUAAGAUUACGUUUGCUUUAUUCUGAAAAACCUCCUGUCUCAAUAACCAAGAAAAAAUUUUAAAAAAUCUAGAUUUAGAGUAAAGCUGAUAUUAGAGGGUCUGGAGGAAGAUGAUGAUGACAGGCUAUCUCCUAACUGUUCUUCACAAAAUGUCUAAUAGCUUAGAGAUAUCGUUAAUCAGUGAUAAUGAGUUCAAGUGCCUGCAUUCCCAGCCAGAGUGUGGGUAUGGACUGCAGCCUGAUCGCUGGACGGAAUAUACAGACAAUGGAGCCAGAUAACCUGGAACUCAUCUUUGAUUUUUUUGAGAAAGAUCUCAGUGAGCUGGUAGUUCAGGGUGAUGCCCUUCCCGGCCAUGUGGGGACAGCAUGUCUCAUCAUCUACCAUUGCCGAGAGUGGGAAGAGUGCAGGACUCCUUACUCUCCCCAUCAUGAGCAGAAAUUCUAGAAAAACAAUAGGCAAAGUUAGAGUUGAUUAUGUAAUUAUUAAGCCAUUACCAGGAUACAGCUGUGACAUGAAAUCUUCAUUUUCCAAGUAUUGGAAGCCAAGGACACCAUUGGAUGUUGGACAUUGAGGUGCAGGGAACUCUACAACAACUGCCCAGCUUGCUAAAGUUCAAGAAAAUACUGUUGCUUCUUUAAGAAAUGCGGCCAGUCAUGGUGCAGCUUUUGUAGAAUUUGAUGUACAACUUUCAAAGGAUUUUAUUCCUGUAGUCUAUCAUGAUCUCACUUGUUGUUUGACUAUGAAAAAGAAAUUUGAUGCUGAUCCAGCAGAAUUAUUUGAAAUUCCAGCUAAUCUUUGACCAGCUCCAAUUGUUAAAGCUUGCCCAUGUGACUGCACUGAAAUCAAAGGAUCGGAAAGAAUCUGCGGUUGAGGAAGAAAAUUCCUUUUCUGAAAAUCAACCUUUUCCUUCUCUUAAGAUGGUUUUAGAGUCAUUGCCAGAAGAUGUAGGGUUUAACACAGAAAUAAAAUGGAUCUGCCAGCAAAGGGAUGGAAUAUGGGAUGGCAAUUUAUCAACAUAUUUUGAUAUGAACCUAUUUUUGGAUAUAAUUUUAAAAACUGUUUUGGAAAAUUCUGGGAAAAGGAGAAUAGUAUUUUCUUCAUUUGAUGCAGAUAUUUGCACAAUGGUUCAGCAAAAGCAGAACAAAUAUCCCAUUUAUUUUUAACUCAAGGAAAAUCUGAUAUUUAUCCUGAACUCAUAUGGACCUCCGAUCUCGGACAACCCCCAUUGCAAUAAGCUUUGCGCAGUUUGAAAAUCUGCUGGGGAUAAAUGCACAUACUGAAGACCUGCUCAGAAACCCAUCGUAUAUUGAGGAAGCAAAAGCUAAGGGACUAGUCAUAUUCUGCUGGGGUGAUGACACCAAUGAUCCUGAAAACAGAAGAAAAUUGAAGGAAUUUGGAGUUAAUGGUCUAAUUUAUGAUAGGAUAUAUGACUGGAUGCCGGAACAGCCAAAUAUAUUCCAAGUGGAGCAGCUGGAACGCCUAAAGCAAGAAUUGCCAGAGCUUAAGACCUGUUUGUGCCCUCCUGUUAGCCACUUCACACCCUCCUCUUUGUGUGGGGAGCCUGACAUCUGCAUGGAGGCCAAUGGCAUUGACAACGCUGAGCAAGCUUAAGCUUUGAUCGCACAAGGCCACUCGAGGGCACCACUGUUCUGGGUGUUUGCUUUCAUCGUUGACCACUGUCUUGUCUUUGCCUUUUGGGUUUCUCAGUCCAAUGAAGCAAUAAUGAAGUAUUUUGCUAGUUCACUACAGUUCUUGCUAGAAUUUCAAGUAUGCUAUUUUACAUCGCUUGGCCAGGUAUAAUUACCAGUCCAUCUCUUUCCAAUGAGAAGAUUUAUUAGUUGGUAAAUACUUUCAACUAAAGAUUUAAACUUAUUUUAAACAGAUGCUCAGUAAUAAGCACAGCUAUUUGGAAUGAAAUAUAUAAAUAG